rnacentral:miRNA from 1 species
AGUGAAUUACCAUUGGGCCAUA